CCUACGGGCUGCAGCAGUGGGGAAUAUUGGACAAUGGGCGAAAGCCUGAUCCAGCCAUGCCGCGUGUGUGAAGAAGGCCUUCGGGUUGUAAAGCACUUUCAGUGGGGAAGAAAGCCUUGGGGCUAAUACCCUCGAGGAAGGACAUCACCCACAGAAGAAGCACCGGCUAACUCCGUGCCAGCAGCCGCGGUAAUACGGAGGGUGCGAGCGUUAAUCGGAAUUACUGGGCGUAAAGCGCGCGUAGGCGGUCUGAUAAGCCGGUUGUGAAAGCCCCGGGCUCAACCUGGGAACGGCAUCCGGAACUGUCAGGCUAGAGUGCAGGAGAGGAAGGUAGAAUUCCCGGUGUAGCGGUGAAAUGCGUAGAGAUCGGGAGGAAUACCAGUGGCGAAGGCGGCCUUCUGGACUGACACUGACGCUGAGGUGCGAAAGCGUGGGUAGCAAACAGGAUUAGAUACCCUUGUAGUC
rnacentral:rRNA from 1 species